rnacentral:rRNA from 1 species
AAACUUUCAACAACGGAUCUCUUGGUUCUGGCAUCGAUGAAGAACGCAGCGAAAUGCGAUAAGUAAUGUGAAUUGCAGAAUUCAGUGAAUCAUCGAAUCU